GGUGUCAAAAUGGUGUCAAAUCAACAUAGGACCUUGGACACAUCCCACUAAUAAUAAAAGUUAUAUAAUUAAUGUAAAACAUUGCUAGAGUAAGCUAAUAAGACUGAAUAUCAGUGAUAAUUUUAUAAAUAAAAAGCGUCCAUAAAAAAUAGAAGAACGUCGUCCAUCUAUUCUUCGUUAUUUAAAAACUGGCGUUAUGGAGCAGGUAUCGACGAUACAUGAGGCAGUGAAACCGCUCUCGUGGUUGAUAGGAAGAUGGAGAUCCGUAAAUGCUGAAGCCACCUAUCCCACUAUGGCACCUUUUAAUUAUUGUGAAGAAAUAUCAUUUGAAACUUUAGGUCAACCAUUGUUGAACUAUACUUCGAAAACUUGGCAUCCACUUACACACAAACCAAUGCAUUUGGAAUCAGGAUUUUUAAGAAUUAAACCGGGGACAAAUGAAAUUGCGUUUAUGGUGGCACAUAAUUUUGGCUUAACUAGUUUAGAAGAAGGAACAGUUCAUUCUAACGAAGUAAUAUUUAAAUCAAAACAAAUCACCAGGAUGACAUUUGCUAGUGACCCAGCAGUCUUAGCUAUUGAACGAUGUUUUAAAUUAAAGGAUAACGGUAAUUUGGAAGUAAGUGUUUCGAUGGAAACGACUAAAACUCCUCUUACCCACCAUUUGAAAAGUGAACUGCAGAAAGUAUGAAUUACAAUGUUUAUACCAUGUAUAGAUGUGGUUCAAUAAAACGAAAAUGAUCUUUGUUAAA